rnacentral:tRNA from 1 species
AGAGGAAUAGCUCAGUGGUAGGGCGAAUGCUUAGCAUGCAUGAGGUCCUGGGUUCAAUCCCCAGUACCUCCA